AGAGUUUGAUCCUGGCUCAGGACGAACGCUGGCGGCGCGCCUAACACAUGCAAGUCGAACGGAGCUUAGAGAGCUUGCUUUUUAAGCUUAGUGGCGAACGGGUGAGUAACGCGUGAGUAACCUGCCCUAGAGUGGGGGACAACAGUUGGAAACGACUGCUAAUACCGCAUAAGCCCACGGUACCGCAUGGUACUGAGGGAAAAGGAUUUAUUCGCUUUAGGAUGGACUCGCGUCCAAUUAGCUAAUUGGUGAGGUAACGGCCCACCAAGGCGACGAUUGGUAGCCGGACUGAGAGGUUGAACGGCCACAUUGGGACUGAGACACGGCCCAGACUCCUACGGGAGGCAGCAGUGGGGGAUAUUGCACAAUGGGGGAACCCUGAUGCAGCGACGCCGCGUGGAGGAAGAAGGUUUUCGGAUUGUAAACUCCUGUCGUUAGGGACGAUAAUGACGGUACCUAACAAGAAAGCACCGGCUAACUACGUGCCAGCAGCCGCGGUAAAACGUAGGGUGCAAGCGUUGUCCGGAAUUACUGGGUGUAAAGGGAGCGCAGGCGGGAAGACAAGUUGGAAGUGAAAACCAUGGGCUCAACCCAUGAAUUGCUUUCAAAACUGUUUUUCUUGAGUAGUGCAGAGGUAGAUGGAAUUCCCGGUGUAGCGGUGGAAUGCGUAGAUAUCGGGAGGAACACCAGUGGCGAAGGCGGUCUACUGGGCACCAACUGACGCUGAGGCUCGAAAGCAUGGGUAGCAAACAGGAUUAGAUACCCUGGUAGUCCAUGCCGUAAACGAUGAUUACUAGGUGUUGGGGGAUUGACCCCCUCAGUGCCGCAGUUAACACAAUAAGUAAUCCACCUGGGGAGUACGACCGCAAGGUUGAAACUCAAAGGAAUUGACGGGGGCCCGCACAAGCAGUGGAGUAUGUGGUUUAAUUCGAAGCAACGCGAAGAACCUUACCAGGUCUUGACAUCCGAUGCAUAGCACAGAGAUGUGUGAAAUCCUUCGGGACAUCGAGACAGGUGGUGCAUGGUUGUCGUCAGCUCGUGUCGUGAGAUGUUGGGUUAAGUCCCGCAACGAGCGCAACCCUUAUUGCCAGUUACUACGUUAAGAGGACUCUGGCGAGACUGCCGUUGACAAAACGGAGGAAGGUGGGGAUGACGUCAAAUCAUCAUGCCCUUUAUGACCUGGGCUACACACGUACUACAAUGGCGUUAAACAAAGAGAAGCAAGACCGCGAGGUGGAGCAAAACUCAAAAACAACGUCUCAGUUCAGAUUGCAGGCUGCAACUCGCCUGCAUGAAGUCGGAAUUGCUAGUAAUCGCGGAUCAGCAUGCCGCGGUGAAUACGUUCCCGGGCCUUGCACACACCGCCCGUC
rnacentral:rRNA from 1 species